GGGGUUGUAUUUUAAUUAAAAAUAUAUGUUUUGCAUACAUAAGAUUAUUAACUCUACC
rnacentral:tRNA from 1 species